UGCAGAAUUGCCUGUUCAGGUCCUUUGUGAAAUAUUAGAUUGUUACUUUGUAGUGUUUUUUGUAUACAACUUAGAUGACAACACAUGAAUUAUAUGAUUACCUGAAAGUUUUGCCUAAUAUAUAGGGUUUUUUUUUUAUUUGGAAAGUAGUUUCUUUGCCAUGCUGAAACUUUUCUGGUUGAUGUAGUCCACAUUUAUUUUCACCUUUUAUGCAUGUAAUUUUGGUCAUCCAUAUAAGGAAAUAGGUAUCAGUUACAAAGCAUUUAAUUGUCAAUGAGGUUUUUCUUCCACGGUGUGUCUUUUUCUCUUUUCAAAGGUGAGCAGAGAUUCAAGUGACCCAGAAUAUAUGCUCAACCUGUGUUUUAGUUAAAAACAUUUUGUGGUUUAUGGUCUUUUGUUCUGGUCUUCAGGGGUUUGUGUGUGUGUGUGUGUUUGUUUUUUGGGGGGUGUGUGGGGGGUGCGGGGGUUGAUUUUCCUAUAUCAUGUAAAAUCAGGGUCCUGUUUCUCUCUUCUGCAUCCAGAUAACAUUUUUCUCAAAGGCAUUCGUUGAGCAGACUCUGCCUUCCACAUUGUGGUGGUCUUUAUCAAAGUUCAUCUCGGUUGCUCCACAUGACACUGUUUCAUCAUUUUGGUGUCCGAAGAAUAUUCCCUAGUGUAUGCAUACGAGAGUUUCUUGAUCCCUCUGUGGAUGGACAGCAUCAUUUCAGGAUGAGCAUUUCGUGUCAAGUGGAUUCAAGGAACAGUGUAAAGGAUCCAUGGCCUCAGUCACCAUGAAGACCCUCCCAAGAGCCAACGUCCUGGGCCCAUAUAAAUGAAUGGAGACAUGGAACUCACCCUUACAAGGCCUAGAACCUGACAGAGCAUGCGAGACAGAAGCCCAAAUAACUAAGAACAGGAAGCUAAAGUCCCCUUGUAGGUCACUCAUGGGGAACUGCAUAGGCUGCGGGGAUUGCCUCAGUUGUGCCUCAUGCCAGGAGGCAGAGGUGCUGUCUUGUGAAUGUGAGACUCAGUCUGCGGCAGCUGAAGCACCAGCAUCCACCACUGCAGAGACUGCUGUUUUACAUCCCGGAGUGGCGGAGGUCCAGCACGUGCAGCCCAUCAAGUCAAAGCGGCGCAAAGGUAAAGAAGCCACGGGCGCCAUUUGCUCUCUGGCCACCACCUCCCCCACCUACUUCCCAUUCCCUCACCCAAGAGACAGCCUCAGUUUCCAGCUCCCUCCUGCCUAUAGCCAGCUUUCCC
rnacentral:lncRNA from 1 species